rnacentral:rRNA from 1 species
ACGUAGGGGGCGAGCGUUGUCCGGAUUUACUGGGCGUAAAGGGUGAGCAGGCGGUAAUACGUGUCAGAUGUAAAAGGCUAAGGCUUAACCAUAGUUAGCAUUUGAAACUGUAUUACUUGAGUGCAGGAGAGGUAAGUGAAAUUCCUAGUGUAGCGGUGAAAUGCGUAGAUAUCGGGAGGAACACCCGUGGCGAAGGCGGCUCUCUGGCCUGUAACUGACGCUGAGGCGCGAAAGCGUGGGGAGCAAACAGGA